AGCGAACGCUGGCGGCAGGCUUAACACAUGCAAGUCGAGCGGGCACUUUCGGGUGUCAGCGGCGGACGGGUGAGUAACGCGUGGGAACGUGCCCUCUGGUUCGGAAUAACUCAGGGGAACUUGAGCUAAUACCGGAUACGCCCUUUUGGGGAAAGGCUUGCUGCCGGAGGAUCGGCCCGCGUCUGAUUAGCUAGUUGGUGGGGUAACGGCGUACCAAGGCGACGAUCAGUAGCUGGUCUGAGAGGAUGAUCAGCCACACUGGGACUGGGACACGGCCCAGACUCUUACGGGAGGGAGCAGUGGGGAAUAUUGGACAACGGGCGCAAGCCUGAUCCAGCCAUGCCGCGUGAGUGAUGAAGGCCUUAGGGUUGUAAAGCUCUUUUAUCCGGGACGAUAAUGACGGUACCGGAGGAAUAAGCCCCGGCUAACUUCGUG
rnacentral:rRNA from 1 species